rnacentral:rRNA from 1 species
CCUGCUCAGAUUGAACGCUGGCGGCAGGCCUAACACAUGCAAGUCGAGCGGAAACGAGUUAUCUGAACCUUCGGGGAACGAUAACGGCGUCGAGCGGCGGACGGGUGAGUAAUGCCUAGGAAAUUGCCCUGAUGUGGGGGAUAACCAUUGGAAACGAUGGCUAAUACCGCAUGAUGCCUACGGGCCAAAGAGGGGGACCUUCGGGCCUCUCGCGUCAGGAUAUGCCUAGGUGGGAUUAGCUAGUUGGUGAGGUAAGGGCUCACCAAGGCGACGAUCCCUAGCUGGUCUGAGAGGAUGAUCAGCCACACUGGAACUGAGACACGGUCCAGACUCCUACGGGAGGCAGCAGUGGGGAAUAUUGCACAAUGGGCGCAAGCCUGAUGCAGCCAUGCCGCGUGUGUGAAGAAGGCCUUCGGGUUGUAAAGCACUUUCAGUCGUGAGGAAGGUAGUGUAGUUAAUAGCUGCAUUAUUUGACGUUAGCGACAGAAGAAGCACCGGCUAACUCCGUGCCAGCAGCCGCGGUAAUACGGAGGGUGCGAGCGUUAAUCGGAAUUACUGGGCGUAAAGCGCAUGCAGGUGGUUUGUUAAGUCAGAUGUGAAAGCCCGGGGCUCAACCUCGGAAUAGCAUUUGAAACUGGCAGACUAGAGUACUGUAGAGGGGGGUAGAAUUUCAGGUGUAGCGGUGAAAUGCGUAGAGAUCUGAAGGAAUACCGGUGGCGAAGGCGGCCCCCUGGACAGAUACUGACACUCAGAUGCGAAAGCGUGGGGAGCAAACAGGAUUAGAUACCCUGGUAGUCCACGCCGUAAACGAUGUCUACUUGGAGGUUGUGGCCUUGAGCCGUGGCUUUCGGAGCUAACGCGUUAAGUAGACCGCCUGGGGAGUACGGUCGCAAGAUUAAAACUCAAAUGAAUUGACGGGGGCCCGCACAAGCGGUGGAGCAUGUGGUUUAAUUCGAUGCAACGCGAAGAACCUUACCUACUCUUGACAUCCAGAGAACUUUCCAGAGAUGGAUUGGUGCCUUCGGGAACUCUGAGACAGGUGCUGCAUGGCUGUCGUCAGCUCGUGUUGUGAAAUGUUGGGUUAAGUCCCGCAACGAGCGCAACCCUUAUCCUUGUUUGCCAGCGAGUAAUGUCGGGAACUCCAGGGAGACUGCCGGUGAUAAACCGGAGGAAGGUGGGGACGACGUCAAGUCAUCAUGGCCCUUACGAGUAGGGCUACACACGUGCUACAAUGGCGCAUACAGAGGGCGGCCAACUUGCGAAAGUGAGCGAAUCCCAAAAAGUGCGUCGUAGUCCGGAUUGGAGUCUGCAACUCGACUCCAUGAAGUCGGAAUCGCUAGUAAUCGUGGAUCAGAAUGCCACGGUGAAUACGUUCCCGGGCCUUGUACACACCGCCCGUCACACCAUGGGAGUGGGCUGCAAAAGAAGUAGGUAGUUUAACCUUCGGGGGGACGCUUACCACUUUGUGGUUCAUGACUGGGGUGAAGUCUAAAAGG